AUGGUGGCCUCGGGCAACAGGUUGUGACAGAAAUAAAGUUUACAGAAGUCGUGUUCCUGCGAUAAGAAAUACAGAUGUGACCUUCUAGUUGUGUAAAGCUCUUAAAUGCUGUGUAAGUGCGUCGGGCGCACUAAGGAACCUGGAGCUAAAUGGGCUAGUUCUGAGAGAGAGAGAGACUUAACUAUGU